AGCUUAAAGAAUUUAAUUUUAAGUUUAAUCUGCCCUGUGAUUUUUUUAACGGCUGCGGUACCUUGACCGUACUAAGGUAGCAUAAUCAAUUGGCUUUUAAAUGGAGUCUGGAAUGAAUGAGAAAAUUGGAGUUUAACUUUCUUAAAUAAAUUUUAUUGAAUUUACUAUAAAAGUGAAAAAGCUUUUUUAUGAUAAAAGACGAGAAGACCCUUGGAGUUUUAAAAAUUUUGUUGGGGCGACAGUAAAAAUUUAACUUUUAUAUUUUUAUUUAUCAAUUUUUAGUUUUAAUAUAUAAACUACCCAAGGGAUAACAGCAUAAUUCUUUUGAGAUUGUGACCUCGAUGUUGGAUUAGGAAUAAUAAUAACUAGUAGUUAUUG
rnacentral:rRNA from 1 species